CUACGGUUGCUGUGGCCGUGGUUAUUAUGGGAGAGGUUGCAGGUGUUGUUCCUAUGCCGGUGAGGCGGUCAAUGCCCAAACUGAGGCUGAACCUCAGAACUAAAGCAGGAUAUAUAACUGCCUCGCUUCAGUUGCUUCCUUGCAUGCACCGUGUGCGAGUCCUAUGUAUAAUAAAUCAAGAGAUGCUUAAUGCAUCAUAAGAAAGAAAUAAAUCAACCUUGAAUGGUCUGUCAUCCAACCUUGAAUGGUCUGUCAUCCUACUUAUGAUAUCAAUUUAAUUAUUUACUCCUGUUAGUUUCCGCUUAUCUGGUUUAUUUUUUGAAAUCUUGAUCCAGUAGUAAUUGUAUUCGUGGUGGUAUCUAAUUGGAUUAGAUGGAAG
rnacentral:lncRNA from 1 species